AUUGAACGCUGGCGGCAGGCCUAACACAUGCAAGUCGAGCGGAUGAAGGGAGCUUGCUCCUGGAUUCAGCGGCGGACGGGUGAGUAAUGCCUAGGAAUCUGCCUGGUAGUGGGGGAUAACGUCCGGAAACGGGCGCUAAUACCGCAUACGUCCUGAGGGAGAAAGUGGGGGAUCUUCGGACCUCACGCUAUCAGAUGAGCCUAGGUCGGAUUAGCUAGUUGGUGGGGUAAAGGCCUACCAAGGCGACGAUCCGUAACUGGUCUGAGAGGAUGAUCAGUCACACUGGAACUGAGACACGGUCCAGACUCCUACGGGAGGCAGCAGUGGGGAAUAUUGGACAAUGGGCGAAAGCCUGAUCCAGCCAUGCCGCGUGGGUGAAGAAGGGCUUCGGAUUGUAAAGCAAUUUAAGUUGGGAGGAAGGGCAGUAAGUUAAUACCUUGCUGUUUUGACGUUACCAACAGAAUAAGCACCGGCUAACUUCGG
rnacentral:rRNA from 1 species